UUUUUGUUAUAGUGGUAGAUUCUGUUUUUGUUAUUUUUUGCUGUUUAGUGCUAUCUAGGUUUAGCGAUAGGUUUAGUUAGCUUGGUAAGUUAGGUUAGUUAUUUAGUUAGCUUAAUAGAAAGAAUAGGAAGAAGAAGAAGAGGAGGAGGAGGAGGAGGAGGAGAAGAAGAAGAAGAAGAAGAAGAAGAAGAAGAAUAGGAGGAGGAGAAGACAAAAAUA
rnacentral:lncRNA from 1 species